GGCUCAGGACGAACGCUGGCGGCGUGCCUAAUACAUGCAAGUCGAGCGGACCGAACGGAAGCUUGCUUCUGUUCGGUUAGCGGCGGACGGGUGAGUAACACGUGGGUAACCUGCCCGUAAGACCGGGAUAACUCCGGGAAACCGGGGCUAAUACCGGAUAACACCGAAGACCGCAUGGUCUUUGGUUGAAAGGUGGCUUUUGCUACCACUUACGGAUGGGCCCGCGGCGCAUUAGCUAGUUGGUGAGGUAACGGCUCACCAAGGCGACGAUGCGUAGCCGGCCUGAGAGGGUGACCGGCCACACUGGGACUGAGACACGGCCCAGACUCCUACGGGAGGCAGCAGUAGGGAAUCUUCCGCAAUGGACGAAAGUCUGACGGAGCGACGCCGCGUGAGCGAAGAAGGUCUUCGGAUCGUAAAGCUCUGUUGUUAGGGAAGAAGAAGUACCGUUCGAAUAGGGCGGUACGGUGACGGUACCUAACGAGAAAGCCCCGGCUAACUACGUGCCAGCAGCCGCGGUAAUACGUAGGGGGCGAGCGUUGUCCGGAAUUAUUGGGGCGUAAAGCGCGCCGCAGGCGGUCCCUUAAGUCUGAUGUGAAAGCCCACGGCUCAACCGUGGAGGGUCAUUGGAAACUGGGGGACUUGAGUGCAGAAGAGGAGAGCGGAAUUCCACGUGUAGCGGUGAAAUGCGUAGAGAUGUGGAGGAACACCAGUGGCGAAGGCGGCUCUCUGGUCUGUAACUGACGCUGAGGCGCGAAAGCGUGGGGAGCAAACAGGAUUAGAUACCCUGGUAGUCCACGCCGUAAACGAUGAGUGCUAAGUGUUAGAGGGGUUAAACCCUUUAUUGCUGUAGCUAACGCGUUAAGCACUCCGCCUGGGGAGUACGGCCGCAAGGCUGAAACUCAAAGGAAUUGACGGGGGCCCGCACAACCGGUGGAGCAUGUGGUUUAAUUCGAAGCAACGCGAAGAACCUUACCAGGUCUUGACAUCCCCUGACAACCCUGGAGACAGGGCGUUCCCCCUUCGGGGGGACAGGGUGAAAGGUGGGGCAUGGUUGUCGCCACCUCUUGUCGCGAGAUGUUGGGUUAAAUCCCGCACCGAGCGCAACCCUCGCCCCUAUUUGCCACCAUUCUGUUGGGCCCUCUAGGGGGACUGCCCGCUAAAAACGAGAAAGGUGGGGAUGACCUCCAAACUUCCUGGCCCCUUAUAACCUGGGCUA
rnacentral:rRNA from 1 species